GUUUGGUGUUUAGUUUAAUCGGUGAUAUUAUUUGGAUAAGGAUUUUUAAAAGAUUAAACGGCAAUUAAAUACGGAAAUGGACGGACGAAAGUUAUCUGGCUCGUAUUGGCGCAAAAGAAAACUGGAAAAACAGCAAAAGGAAAAGAAAGCUUUAGAAAACACUCUUAAACUCACAAGUUUUUUUACACGGGGUAACACAGACGUAGACGAGAGCAGAAGUAUAUGCGAACCUCAACCUGGACCAAGUACGAGCACUAGCCUUGCAAAUGAGAUGAAUACCCAAGAGACCGGUCUUGAGAUGGAGCCACAGGAAAGUCUUUUGCAAAAUAAUACAGUUGGUGAUAGUAUUAUAGAUGCAAAAACAGACGAUUGGACCGAAUUUAAGGAUUCGGCACUUUGGAAGGAUGGUCAAAAUUUUGUGCAAAUUCUUUUGGAUAACUGGACCGAACAAAUUCUUGAUAAAAUUGACUUUUCAAUGUCUAAAAGAAAACAUGGGGACCAAAAUAGUCAGUGUGGACUCAACACCCGAUAUAUCACAUCAGGAUCAGCUAACAAUAAUUUUAAGGUAUUGCAAUAGUAAA